rnacentral:snRNA from 1 species
GGAUGUGAGGGCGAUCUGGCUGCGACAUCUGUCACCCCAUUGAUCGCCAGGGUUGAUUCGGCUGAUCUGGCUGGCUAGGCGGGUGUCCCCUUCCUCCCUCACCGCUCCAUGUGCGUCCCUCCCGAAGCUGCGCGCUCGGUCGAAGAGGACGACCAUCCCCGAUAGAGGAGGACCGUUCUUCGGUCAAGGGUAUACGAGUAGCUGCGCUCCCCUGCUAGAACCUCCAAACAAGCUCUCAGCAGACUUUCCAUCUAGCUGGAAUGCAUUUUGCAUCAUAUUUAUCUGUACAUAGGCAAUCACUAGCUUGAUGUCUACUGU